AAAAAGAUAAGCUAAUAAAGCUAUUAGGUUCAUACCCUGUUUAUAAAGGUCCGACCCCUUUUCUUUUUA
rnacentral:tRNA from 1 species